CUGUACUGCUGUGCUGCACAGAGCAAGGGCGCUAUGUCAUAUCAUAAUUGGUCCUGACCACACCUAGUGCAUUAGCCCUAGUGCGGGCUGCAAAUACAACCUCAUUACUCCUCGCUCCCGGAUUAGCAGAUCAGAAGGGGAUCAAACUACAGCAGAAUCUGUUCAGAAGACAGAAGGAACAGAUGCAGAAUAAAACCAGCUAGAAAAGGAACUUUAACAAGUAGAUUCCAUCAUCUACCUGGAGUGGGGAGACCCGGGCGCCGGCAGCCCCAGACACCCUACCUGCCUCGUGGUGCCGCAUCAACCAUGCCYGACUCCUUUGCCAUCCACUUCCUCAAGGUGCUGAAGGAGCUCCUGGCCUUCGUGCUGUUCAGCUACACCGUGCUGGUCGGGGCGCUGCUGCUCGCCGGCUGGACGACUUACUUCUUGGUGCUUAAAUGACAGCUCCUUUUCUGCCCCUGCAACCACAGACUGGCCCAGGUGCAAGAGAGCCCAGUGCGUGGCUUGCCCUGGGCAUCUGCUCAGCACAGAGAAUGGCAGUCCCUUUAUCCUGCAUCAACUCCACUAGCGUUUUCUCU